rnacentral:rRNA from 2 species
CAACAGGGAUUGCCCUAGUAACGGCGAGUGAAGCGGCAACAGCUCAAAUUUGAAAUCUGGCUUCGGCCCGAGUUGUAAUUUGCAGAGGAAGCUUUAGGCGCGGCACUUUCUGAGUCCCCUGGAACGGGGCGCCAUAGAGGGUGAGAGCCCCGUAUAGUUAGAUGCCUAGCCUGUGUAAAGCUCCUUCGACGAGUCGAGUAGUUUGGGAAUGCUGCUCAAAAUGGGAGGUAAAUUUCUUCUAAAGCUAAAUACCGGCCAGAGACCGAUAGCGCACAAGUAGAGUGAUCGAAAGAUGAAAAGCACUUUGAAAAGAGGGUUAAAUAGCACGUGAAAUUGUUGAAAGGGAAGCGCUUGUGACCAGACUUGCGCCGGGCAGAUCAUCCGGUGUUCUCACCGGUGCACUCUGCCCGGCUCAGGCCAGCAUCGGUUCUCGCGGGGGGAUAAAGGCCCUGGGAACGUAGCUCCUCCGGGAGUGUUAUAGCCCGGGGCGUAAUGCCCUCGCGGGGACCGAGGUUCGCGCAUCUGCAAGGAUGCUGGCGUAAUGGUCAUCAGCGACCCGUCUUGAAACACGGACCAAGGAGUCAAGGUUUUGCGCGAGUGUUUGGGUGUAAAACCCGCACGCGUAAUGAAAGUGAACGUAGGUGAGAGCUUCGGCGCAUCAUCGACCGAUCCUGAUGUUUUCGGAUGGAUUUGAGUAGGAGCGUUAAGCCUUGGACCCGAAAGAUGGUGAACUAUGCUUGGAUAGGGUGAAGCCAGAGGAAACUCUGGUGGAGGCUCGCAGCGGUUCUGACGUGCAAAUCGAUCGUCAAAUCUGAGCAUGGGGGCGAAAGAC